rnacentral:rRNA from 1 species
GUCUUAUUGUAUAUUUUUAUUAAGUCUGGCCUGCCCAAUGAUUUAUAUUUAAUGGCCGCAGUAUUUUGACUGUGCAAAGGUAGCAUAAUCAUUUGUCUCUUAAUUGGGGACUUGUAUGAAUGGUUUAAUGAGAUGCAGUCUUUCUUUAUAUAACUUUGAUUAACUUAAUUUUUUAGUUAAAAAGCUAAAAUAUAUUUAUGGGACGAGAAGACCCUAUAGAAUUUUAUAUUAACUAUUAUAAUAUAUUUUUUGGUAAUUAUUAAUUUAAUUAUAAUCAUUAAUAUUUCAUUGGGGUGAUGGGAAAAUUUUUUCAACUUUUUUUAUUUAAAUUUUUAUUAAUUAAUAUAUUAAUGAUCCUACUUUGUGGAUAAUAAGAUUAAAUUACCUUAGGGAUAACAGCGUAAUUCUUCUGGAGAGUUCAUAUCGAUAGAUGAGAUUGCGACCUCGAUGUUGGAUUAAAAUAAGUAUUAGGUGUAGGUGCUUAAUUACUAGGUCUGUUCGACCUUUAAUUUUUUACA